GAUGAACGCUAGCUACAGGCUUAACACAUGCAAGUCGAGGGGCAUCAGGAAGAAAGCUUGCUUUCUUUGCUGGCGACCGGCGCACGGGUGAGUAACACGUAUCCAACCUGCCCUUUACUCGGGGAUAGCCUUUCGAAAGAAAGAUUAAUACCCGAUAGCAUAAUGAUUCCGCAUGGUUUCAUUAUUAAAGGAUUCCGGUAAAGGAUGGGGAUGCGUUCCAUUAGGUUGUUGGUGAGGUAACGGCUCACCAAGCCUUCGAUGGAUAGGGGUUCUGAGAGGAAGGUCCCCCACAUUGGAACUGAGACACGGUCCAAACUCCUACGGGAGGCAGCAGUGAGGAAUAUUGGUCAAUGGGCGCUAGCUUGAACCAGCCAAGUAGCGUGAAGGAUGAAGGCUCUAUGGGUCGUAAACUUCUUUUAUAUAAGAAUAAAGUGCAGUAUGUAUACUGUUUUGUAUGUAUUAUAUGAAUAAGGAUCGGCUAACUCCGUGCCAGCAGCCGCGGUAAUACGGAGGAUCCGAGCGUUAUCCGGAUUUAUUGGGUUUAAAGGGAGCGUAGGUGGACUGGUAAGUCAGUUGUGAAAGUUUGCGGCUCAACCGUAAAAUUGCAGUUGAUACUGUCAGUCUUGAGUACAGUAGAGGUGGGCGGGAUUCGUGGUGUAGCGGUGAAAUGCUUAGAUAUCACGAAGAACUCCGAUUGCGAAGGCAGCUCACUGGACUGCAACUGACACUGAUGCUCGAAAGUGUGGGUAUCAAACAGG
rnacentral:rRNA from 1 species